rnacentral:siRNA from 1 species
UAGUCAAGUGAACAUUCAAGUC